CUGGAACUCUGAAGAGGAAAGGUGAGCUGACUUGGAACGGGAAAAAGUAACAGCAGGCAAUGAACUCCAGAAAUGGAGCAGAAAAUGUUGAAGUCCAAAAGAGGGUGAAAGAAAUUGACAGAUGGAGUGAAAGGGGGGAAAAGAACAGUUGGAGCUUUCAGACUUGAGAUUUGUCUCAGGCCACAACUCCCCGAGAUGAGAUAUUCAGGGCAGGUGCUAGAGAGGUGGCUCUUCAUUGUGUUAUCAAGGUCAUCAGAUGAGGAGCGUCACUCCAGUUUUCCUUCA